rnacentral:rRNA from 1 species
GACGAACGCUGGCGGCGUGCUUAACACAUGCAAGUCGAACGGAAAGGCCUGCUUUCCCUUGUGGAUUGCGGGUACUCGAGUGGCGAACGGGUGAGUAACACGUGAGUGAUCUGCCCCCAACUUGGGUAUAAGCCUGGGAAACUGGGUCUAAUUCCCGAUAGGACUGCAGGGUGGUGCCUGUGGUGGAAAACGAUUUUCUAGUGGUUGGGGAUGAGCUCGCGGCCUAUCAGCUUGUUGGUGGGGUAAUGGCCUACCAAGGCGGCGACGGGUAGCCGGCCUGAGAGGGUGGACGGCCACAUUGGGACUGAGAUACGGCCCAGACUCCUACGGGAGGCAGCAGUGGGGAAUAUUGCACAAUGGGCGGAAGCCUGAUGCAGCGACGCCGCGUGGGGGAUGACGGCCUUCAGGUUGUAAACUCCUUUCGACCGCGAGGAAGCCACCUGGUUGGAAGGGUGGUGACGGUAGUGGUAGAAGAAGCACCGGCUAACUACGUG